rnacentral:lncRNA from 1 species
UUUAUUUUGAAAACAAUUAUCAUUUUGGAAAUGCGCCCUAGGUCUAACUCAUAUUGUUAUCAGAAAAAAUAUAGGGUAUAAAAUAAAAUAAUCCCAGAAAAAUAAUUAAAUAGCCUUAUUACAACCCAAAACCAAAUAAUAAUAUUAAUAAGAUAAAACUUAUAAAGAAAUAAAUCGGCUACUUAUUACAAUUCAAAGAACCAGAAACAGUAGUGUGGCCAUCUCCGAGUCCCUCGCAGCUCCAAACCAUCUAGGCUUAGGGAUUACCUGCACAGUUAGAAAUGGGGUGAGUUUACGAAAACUCAGUGUGUAAUCCCAAUAACAAACAAACAAUGAAAACACAGUGUCAGUACAAUCUGGGCCAAAGCCCUAUUUAGUCUUGGCAUAUACUGGGCUGAAGCCUUUUGUUUAACGAUUACUAGGCUGAAGCCUUUUCAUAAAUCAUAUCACUGGGCCGAAGCCUCAUCAUAAAUCAUAUCACUGGGCCGAAGCCUUAUCAUAAAUCAUAUCACUGGGCCGAAGCCUUUUCAUAAAUCAUAUCAUUGGGCUGAAGCCUUUACUGUAAACGGUAUGGCCCUUAGGCCCAUUUCAAUAUCACAUGUAAUGUCAAUGGAUAUAUGCAAGCCCAUUUGGGGAGACUACUCGACUCACCAUCCGCUACUCUCCACCCGUACCAACCAACACACCAUGUGGGGAAUGAUUCAACCCACCCAACCAACACACCACUGGCAGCAUAGCUGCUUUAUCAUUUAUCUGGAAGCCUAGCCUCUUUUAAUAACUAGGGCAAAACCCUUUUGAUAAGCUGGGGCAAAGCCCUUUUCGGUAAACUGGGGCAAAGCCCUUUUCGAUAAACUGGGGCAUAGCCCUUUUAGCACUUCCUCCAUUUAUAAAACCCAACCUAUGCAACAUGUCAUGUAUGCAGAAUGUCAUGCCCAUAUUUGAAUCAAACAAUCACAGUCAAGUCAUUCAUUUCACCAACAUAUAUUCACAAUCAAAUCCGUCAACCACACAAUCCAAGUCAGUCACUUGCCCACAAGGGCAAAACAGUCAUUUUUCACAUUAUGAGGGUAAUUUCGUAAUUUUACCAAAUAUCAGGGUUUUCCAUGUUCAUCAACAAUUAUCAAUAUUUUCGAGUGUUUAAACAAUGAUCUUUAACCCAUUUUAUCAAACUCGGGCUUUUGGGCCCAAAACCUCUAAUGGGCCCUAUGAAUGCCGAUUUAGCCCAUUAAGCCCACAUAAUCCAAAUUUUACAACAGUACUAACCGUGUUAAAAUGCAAGUUUUCCAGAUUCCAUUUUCUAUCAAAUUUACCCAAAUGGGCCCGAAGCCCAUUGGGCCCAAUUUCAGCCCAUUAAGGCCCAACUUACCAUCGUGCACAAAAUUGAGUUCUUACCUGUUCCAUCGAUCCAAACACUAAUCUUAUCAUAUUUAUCGCAUCUAUACCCAAACGCAACAUUACAAGUUCCCGAAAUACCAGUAUUUGAGCAUUUCGACUUCUCAGCAAAUAUUAAUCUAAGCUAUUACAAGGGUUAGUACACACCUGUUACGGGUUAAAGUUGAAACGUUUCCAAAAUCAAUCGCCUACGAUAACCACCACCUGUCACUCAAACUUAACUAAUCCAAUAUCAAUAUAUGUAAAUCCUAAGCACAUCAGUCAUACGGAACAUAAGGGCAUAUUCGUCAUUUUACCAUACAGGGGUAUUAUGGUCACUUUACCCUACAGGGGCUUUAUAGUCUUUUUACCUAAUAAGGGUAUUUUAGUCAUUUCACCCUACAAGGGUGUUUUGGUAAAUCUACAAACCAAGGGUAUUUCAGUAAUUUUGUAAACCAAUGGUAUUUCUAUAAUUUUUAGAAAGUCAAGGGUAUUUCUAUAAUUUUGUAAAUUAGGGGUAUUUUGGUAAUUUUACAAAUUAAGGGUAUUUCGGUAAUUUCACAAACUAGUGGUAUUUUGGUAAUUUUACAAACUAGGGGUAUUUUGGUAAUUUUACAAACCAGGGGUAUUUUAGUAAUUUUACAGACUAGGGUAUUUUGGUAAUUUUACUAAUCAAGGGUAUUUUGAUAAUUUUACAAGUCGAGGGUAUUUCAAUAAUUGGUAAACUGAAGUAUUCUAAACAUGGAUAACAAUACUAAUGGCCCUAAAGCCCAUUCUCGACCCAAAUGGGCCCACACGCUCGUGUGGCCCUUUUAUCCCAAAUCUAGCCACAAAUAUUAGAUUCACCUAGCCUAGCCCAAUAUUUACUACACAAUCAAACAACUUAUUCAAUUGGGCCCGUAGGCCCAUUAGGCCCACAUGACACCUUUCGGCCCAUCGCGGCCCAAAGUAGCCAUCCUACAGCUAGAGUAGUAAGAAAUACACACCUGAUAGGUGACUGGAGUUAAUCCACGCUCCGAGCACUCUUAGCCGACGCCCAACCCAAACGAGCACGCCAUACAACGAAAGGGAUCAGCCAAGAAAGGUACCUCUACUCUCCUCAUGGUUCUCUCUAUUUAAAGCCAGCUUCGCAUCCCCUCUUAUGUUAGCUUCCCGAUGUGGGAUCCUUCCAACAUCAGAGUUUAAAUUCAAC